rnacentral:rRNA from 1 species
UACGUAGGGUCCGAGCGUUGUCCGGAAUUAUUGGGCGUAAAGGGCUCGUAGGCGGUCCGUCGCGUCGGGAGUGAAAACUCGGAGCUUAACUCCGAGCCUGCUUCCGAUACGGGCAGACUAGAGGUGAGGCAGGGGAGAGCGGAACUCCUGGUGUAGCGGUGGAAUGCGCAGAUAUCAGGAAGAACACCGGUGGCGAAGGCGGCGUC